rnacentral:rRNA from 1 species
AACGAACGCUGGCGGCAUGCCUAACACAUGCAAGUCGAACGAGACCUUCGGGUCUAGUGGCGCACGGGUGCGUAACGCGUGGGAACCUGCCCUUAGGUUCGGAAUAACUCCCCGAAAGGGGUGCUAAUACCGGAUAAUGUCUUCGGACCAAAGAUUUAUCGCCUUUGGAUGGGCCCGCGUUGGAUUAGCUAGUUGGUAGGGUAAAAGCCUACCAAGGCGACGAUCCAUAGCUGGUCUGAGAGGAUGAUCAGCCACACUGGGACUGAGACACGGCCCAGACUCCUACGGGAGGCAGCAGUGGGGAAUAUUGGACAGUGGGCGAAAGCAUGAUCCAGCAAUGCCGCGUGAGUGAUGAAGGCCUUAGGGUUGUAAAGCUCUUUUACCCGGGAUGAUAAUGACGGUACCGGGAGAAUAAGCUCCGGCUAACUCCGUG